CUUCCAGUAGCACCUUAGAGACCAACUAAGUUGUUAUUGGUACGAGCUUUCAUGUGAAAGAAGUAUGAGUGCACAUGAAAGCUCAUACCAAUAACAAACUUAGUUGGUCUCUAAGGUGCUACUGGAAG